rnacentral:rRNA from 1 species
AUUGAACGCUGGCGGAAUGCUUUACACAUGCAAGUCGAACGGUAGAGGGGCAACCCUUGAGAGUGGCGAACGGGUGAGUAAUGUAUCGGAACAUGCCCAGUCGUGGGGGAUAACGUAGCGAAAGUUACGCUAAUACCGCAUACGAUCUAUGGAUGAAAGCGGGGGAUCGCAAGACCUCGCGCGAUUGGAGUGGCCGAUAUCAGAUUAGGUAGUUGGUGGGGUAAAGGCCUACCAAGCCGACGAUCUGUAGCUGGUCUGAGAGGACGACCAGCCACACUGGCACUGAGACACGGCCCGGACGUCGACGGGAGGCAGCGGUGGGGAAUUUUGGACGAUGUGCGCAAGCCUGAUCCAGCCAUUCCGCGGGCAGGAAGAAGGCCUUCGGUUUGUAAACUGCUUUUGUACGGAACGAAACGCGCUGAGCUAAUACCUCGGCGUAAUGACGGUACCGUAAGAAUAAGCACCGGCUAACUACGUGCCAGCCGCCGCGGUAAGAC